CUAGUUCUGAGAGGGAAGGGGGAGAGAAAAGAUGCAUGGAAUUUGUUUUGAAAACAGCAUUCACUCCUCUGCAUUCCUGCUCUUGGACUAUGCUUGUCUGAGGCACAGAGACCUGUUUUGCUCUUAGUUAGUUUUAGCUAGAACAGAAGUGUUUCCAUGCAAGCUGAAAGCACCAGUGUGAAGCUGCAUCAAAGAUGUGUCUCGUUGCUGUCAAGUGGCUCCUGUAAGCCAGCAGUGCUGUCACCCGUGCAGAGACUGCUCCAUGCACAUCCUUCCCAGCUUUUCUGAAAAUCCAGACUUCCAUCUUCCCGGUGUUGUAUAACUGUCCAUCCUCCUCCAGCAAUUUCCAUAUUGCAAAAGACCUAGGCAGUAAAUAAAAAAGAAAAACUUAAAAACCCAAACAAAAAAAAAUAAAACAAGUUUGCAUUGGAAUUCUGGCAUCUUAGGCAGGGAAGUAUUUGUGAAUAAGAGUAUUAAGGAAGUGUGUUUUUCUAUGUACUCAUGCCCUAUUCCUUCAAUGACCUCUUCAGUCAUUUGACGACAACCAGUUCUCUGGUUAUGUUUAGUGUUA